rnacentral:lncRNA from 1 species
UACUGAAGAAGUUAUUUCUGGAGCCAGUUCCUGUUCCUGGAAUAAGGUUUGAUUGGUUACCCAUGAAUGCCAAUUAGAAAAUGACAGUAGUUUGAUAUUUCUGCUAUUUUGUGUAAUUUUGUAAUGUGGUUUCAACUGUAUUCAACUGUGUGUAAUUAUUUAUUGCUUUAUACACUUUGAUCAUUUGUGACAUCUUGUCUUUUGACUCAUUACAAGACAAAUAAAUCAAAAAUGCUUUGUUGAAGGGAGUAACUUUAAAUAGAAAACAUUUAAAGUAACUAGAACUAAUUGGAUGGAACCACUGUCCAUAAUUGAAUUAAGUUAGUUUAAAGAGUCAUUAAAACAAGUAAAGCAUACCUGAUAUUUAAGUGUUUGCUGGUUCUUUCCAAGGGUUCAAAAAAAAAAAAAUUAAGCAGCAGUCAAGGAGCUUUUUUUUACCGUGAAAUAUCAGUGUAGUUGAACAUCUGAUGUUGUACGGAAGCAUGACAUGUAAAUGGAGAACAAAAACUGUAAUGUGAACAAGAAUUCUGAAGGGUCAGAUGUGUUCUGCCGGUUCUGCAAACAUACUGGCAAAAUGAGGUGCUCAAGUUAGAUGCUCAUCUGAUGUUGUGUUGCUGGUAAGUUGUGUUAAUGUCUGUCUUUUAGAGAUUUUUUCCCACAUUUUCCUGAUAUGAAUCCCAUGCAUUAGGUGUGUUAUAUGUUUUUAUACUUAUAAAAGUCUCAAAGUGUUUUCUGAAACAUAUAAUUGCAGGUGUUGGUUUAAUUUAAAUGAAUUAAUGAAAAUAAAUUUAAAAAUGAAUUAGGAUUGUUUAAAGCAGUGGUUCUCAAAGUUUCAGGAUCCCUCUAAUGGUUAUGCAGGGGAAUCACUAAAUUAAAUAAUAAUUAAUGUUAAUACAUUUUAAUUGAAUCUUUGAGUAAGGUUUUUGUUUUUUUGUUUUUUUACAUGUAAGUACAGUACAUUUAUGUAACUUGUUAUAACACAUUUUAAUUUAAAAUGUAUAUUUUCAUUUACCGG